UCGUCGUCGCCGCUUGGUACGGUUGUCUCGCCAUCUCGCUUGCUCAUACCCGAUUCUUCUCCCGGGAAAAAGUCUUUUGCGUGCGCAUAAUUUGUGUUGGAUAACUCCAAUAAAUCGUGAUUAUAAGCAAGUUUAAAUUAUUUUAAAUAAAGUGUGAAUCACAAAGUGUUACAGAUAUAUUUUUUAUAUAAAUCAAAGCUUUCUCUUCUAAAUCGUGAAGGAUUUUUUGAUGCGAGUGAGGUUAACCUGUUUCUGUCAAACGUCAUUGUUGUUUUGAUAGAAUCGGUAAAAAAACGAAAAUUUAAAUUAAAAGGACUCGUAUGACGGAUUGAUUAAAGUUCAAUUAAACCAGCAGCUUCAGUGACGGAAGUUAGUGAUGAUAAAAAGAGAUAAAUGUUGAAAUUAAAUAACAGUGUAUGAUUCGUAACCCGACUUAGUGACAGUGGGAUCUUGUUUUGAUAAAUAAUAUUUGUAAUUUUGUUAUUACGAGUCCUGACAAUCAGUGGAUUUGUGUGGGUGCUUUGUGCGUUAUUUACGGCCACUUUGAAUUGGCUAAACGAGGAUACGUCUGCUUCACUUCUGUGAUAAUCAAUGAAAUGUCGACAGCACGAAUAAUGGCGACCACAACCAAAUAAUGCUCAAACAACGCAGGCUCUUAGUCCUCAACAUUGAAACUGUUAAGGUAAGUUGCGACAAAAUAACGCUCUAUUUACCAUUAUGAUAUUAUUAUACAUUAUUUGUUGAAUAAAUAAAAGCAUUUACAAAU